rnacentral:rRNA from 1 species
CCUACGGGAGACAGCAGUGAGGAAUAUUGGUCAAUGGACGAGAGUCUGAACCAGCCAAGUAGCGUGAAGGAUGACUGCCCUAUGGGUUGUAAACUUCUUUUAUAUGGGAAUAAAACGUUCCACGUGUGGGAUUUUGUAUGUACCAUAUGAAUAAGGAUCGGCUAACUCCGUGCCAGCAGCCGCGGUAAUACGGAGGAUCCGAGCGUUAUCCGGAUUUAUUGGGUUUAAAGGGAGCGUAGGUGGAUUGUUAAGUCAGUUGUGAAAGUUUGCGGCUCAACCGUAGCAUUGCAGUUGAAACUGGCAGUCUUGAGUACAGUAGAGGUGGGCGGAAUUCGUGGUGUAGCGGUGAAAUGCUUAGAUAUCACGAAGAACUCCGAUUGCGAAGGCAGUUCACUGGACUGCAACUGACACUGAGGCUCGAAAGUGUGGGUAUCAAACAGGAUUAGAUACCCCUGUAGUC